rnacentral:rRNA from 1 species
CAAAACGACUCUCGACAACGGAUAUCUCAGCUCUUGCAUCGAUGAAGAACGUAGCGAAAUGCGAUACGUGGUGUGAAUUGCAGAAUCCCGUGAACCAUCGAGUUUUUGAACGCAAGUUGCGACCAAAGCCUUUUGGUUGAGGGCACGUCUGCCUGGG